rnacentral:rRNA from 1 species
AUUGAACGCUGGCGGCAGGCUUAACACAUGCAAGUCGAGCGGUAACAGGAGAAGCUUGCUUCUCGCUGACGAGCGGCGGACGGGUGAGUAAUACUUAGGAAUCUGCCCAGUAGUGGGGGAUAACCGGUGGAAACGCCGACUAAUACCCCAUAGCAUCAACUUAGGGCAUCCUUAGUUGAUUAAAGAAUUUCGGAAACGGAUAGGCUCGCGUGACAUUAGCUAGAUGGCGGGGUAACGGCCCACCAUGGCUACGAUGUCUAGGGGUUCUGAGAGGAAGGUCCCCCCACACUGGAACUGAGACACGGUCCAGACUCCUACGGGAGGCAGCAGUGAGGAAUAUUGGUCAAUGGUCUGACGACUGAACCAGCCAUGCCGCGUGAAGGUCACGGCCCUAUGGGUCUUAAACUUCUUUUGUAAGGGAGCAAUAAGUCUCACGUGUGGGAUGAUGAGAGUACCUUACGAAUAAGCAUCGGCUAACUCCGUG